GGCUCACCUAUAUUAUAAAAGGACCAUCCAAACAACUGAAAAAAUACACUUAACAUGUAUUCAACGUCUAAUAAACGAUUACCAUGUGAUAAAAUGAUUACACAAAAGACUCUCUCCCCUAAAACCAUCCUAACAACCUCAUCCCGAUCCCUUUCCAACCUAACCUCUUGCAGACCCUACGUACCAUUGGUUCAAUAAAUUAACAGCCAACUACACUUAGUGCAGAAGAUAUUUAAACUAUGUUCUCCGCGGACAGCUGAAAUUAAAAGGCAUGCAAGUGAAAAAUGCAUAGCAACAUAUAAUAGGAUCAAAACAAACUAUUGUAAAAAGAUAAAAGCAAGCUAACCAUUCUCCAUGAUGAAAAACUAAAGACGACUUGAAAGAAAAGGAGAAACUAACCUUUAGAAGUAGUCGAAUGAAUGCAGCUUCGUGGCACUGUCUGUGGAAGCACUCAAAGUUUCAAAGAAAUCACAUUUAUUUAUGUCUUUGAGGGAAAUCAAAUUACCCAACGGAAAUUUGUUAAUCAAAGGCUUUAACCUCGUAUUGGAAAUCAAAGCAGAAACAUGUAAAAGAGCUGUGACAUACCUGUGGAGCUCUUGAGCAUGGAAAGGCUCUGGUUUUUUUUAUAAAAAAACAACGGAAAAUAAAAUAAGAAACCGGCUGAAAAACUCAAAAAACCUCUUCGGAAAAACUGGACAUCAGCUUACCACUGAUUCACCUAGACCGUAACAAAUCGAGGCAUGCAAAUCGUAGUUUUUGUUCCUGAGAUGAAGGGGAGACGAUAGUAAAAUUCAACACAAAACCAAAAUCAAAAGGAGGUAUAUUAAGUUGGCAAAAGUAUUCAUAUGAUAGGAUUUCACAAAUUUUAAGUUAGAUGGGAAGUUUAUGAAUGUUUGAGAAUAAUCAAUGAGCAACAUGCUCACGAACAGAGUCCAACAACAACAACAACAACAACAAAGCCUUUUCCCACUAAGUGGGGUCGGCUAUAUGAAUCCUAGAACGCCAUUGCGCUCGGUUUUGUGUCAUGCCCUCCGUUAGAUCCAAGUACUCUAAGUCUUUUCUUAGAGUCUCUUCCAAAGUUUUCCUAAGUCUUCCUCUACCCCUUCGGCCCUGAACCUCUGUCCCGUAGUCACAUCUUCGAACCGGAGCGUCAGUCGGCCUUCUUUGCACAUGUCCAAAUCACCAGAGCCGAUUUUCUCUCAUCUUUCCUACAAUUUCGGCUACUCCUACUUUACCUCGGAUAUCCUCAUUCCCAAUCUUAUCCUUUCUCGUGUGCCCACACAUCCCACGAAGCAUCCUCAUCUCCGCUACACCCAUUUUGUGUACGUGUUGAUGCUUCACCACCCAACAUUCUCUGCCAUACAACAUCGCUGGCCUUAUUGCCGUCCUAUAAAAUUUUCCCUUGAGCUUCAGUGGCCUACGACGGUCACACAACACGCCGGAUGCACUCUUUCCAUCCAGCUCGUAUUCUAUGGUUGAGAUCUCCAUCUAAUUCUCCGUUCUCUUGCAAGAUAGAUCCUAGGUAACGAAAACGGUCGCUUUUUGUGAUCUUCGCUAGAUUGCUCCGGUCAUUAGUGUGGAUAAGUAUAUAAAUGGAUAGAGAUAGGAAAGCAAACACAAGAUGUACGUGGUUCACCCAGAUUGGCUACGCCCACGGAAUAGAAGAGUUCUCAUUAAUUGUGAAGGGUUUACACAAGUACAUAGGUUCAAGCUCUCCUUUAGUGAGUACGAGUGAAUGAUUUAGUACAAAUGACAUUAGGAAAUAUUGUGGGAUAAUGAUCUCGUAAUCACGAAACUUCUAAGUAUCGGAGUGUGGUGUCGUCUUGACUUGCCUUAUCUGUCUCAUAGGUAGAUGUGGCAUCUUCUCUGGAAGUACUCUUCCUCCAUCCAGGGGUGGUAUCUUUAACUGGUGGAGAUGCACAAGGUAAUGUAUCAAUUUCACUUGAAGCUUACUUGUAGUUUCAGGCUUGGUCAAGCGCGAUACAAACCAUGUAGUAGGAGUCCCCCAAGUCGCCGAGCUAGGGGGUCUGCUGAAAGAGGUGACAGACAAGGUAAGCAAUCAGAGCUCCGACUGAUUGUUCACCUUCUCCCCAUCUUGCAGCAGCAUGAAGGAUAAAGAGAAGAAAAAUGAGAAGAGAUGAUAUGAGAUACUUUUGCUUUUGAAGAAGUAACUUUCCACAGGCUUAUUCUUGAACUGAGCUGGAGGGUUUUCUGGUUUCCUCCAGAGUAUAAGGCCGACUGAAGAAUUUGAGGGUCAAAACAAGUCCAUCAAAUCUAGAGUACGUUCCACCCUGCUGAUAUGGGAUACUUUUGCUUUUGACAGAGUAAUGGAUGUAUCGGCACGUGUGCUGUUACGCUUGUCUCCACAUGCUUCCUUGUAUCCUUCGCACUUGCCCUAUCUGUUCCUCAAGCAGAUGCGGAAUCUUCCCUGGAAACAUAAGAUGAUGAAGAUGAGUACUCGAGAGCAAUGCCAGGUAAGUAAUCAGGUAAGGGGUUCCAGGCAGUCAAUUCCUGGCUGGAAGCUUGAUUCCAAGUACUGACUGAUUGCUCUCUUUCUCCUUGUCUUGCAGGUAAAAACAAGGCCAAAAGAAAAAACAGGGAAAAAGCAUGAUAUGAGAUACUCUUGCUUUUAACCCUGAUGAUAUGAGAUAUUCUUGCUCUAGUAUAGCUUGUUUGCAGAGGUAUUAUCGGGGGGAAAGAAAGCUGAAUAUUUCGAAAGGCUUUUGUUGGGAGUGCCCUCUCAGAUAUGAUGAAGGGUUGAGCAUUUUUGCAGGUCUGCCUGUCCGUUGGGGAUGGAGGUCGACAUAUAUAGGAGUCUCCCUAACAACAAGUAGUAAUGCUAUUCCUUUACCCUGCUUGGUCAUAGCACGGUAGUGGGAGCUGCCAGUUUCACAUGUUUUAACUCUGUCAGAGCACUUUGAAAAAGUGGUCUGUGGUAUCUGGCUCUCGAGAUUCGGAGAACGAUGCCUCUUCGAUUUUUGAGAAAGCAAUCAUGCUGGGGGUCUGACUCUCGAGAUUCGGAGAGCAGUGUCUCUUCGAUUUUUGAGGAAGUAAUCAUGUUGGGAGUCUGGCUCUCGAGAUUCGGAAGGCGGUGCCUCUUCGAUUUUGGAGCAAGCAAUCUUGUUGGGAGUGUUGUCUCGAAUGUGAGUAAAGGUUGGACAUGUUUGCUAGUCUACCUUGCCACGAAGCACAAAGGUUGACACACAGGGACUUUCCAAUUAUCCAGCAAUGGUACUGUUCCUUUACCCUCUCUUCGAUUUUGAGAAAGUAGUCAUGUUGGGAGUCUGGCUCUCGAGAUUCGGAAGACGGUGCCUCUUCGAUUUUGGAGCAAGCAAUCUUGUUGGGACUGUUUUCUCGAAUGUGAGUAAAGGUUGGGCAUGUUUGCUAGUCUACCUUGCCACGAAGCACAGAGGUUGACACACAGGGACUUUCCAAUUAUCCAGCAGUGGUACUGUUCCUUUACCCUUGUGGGUAAUAAUAUGGUAGCUAGACCUUCAAAAUUUAUGUGUGUAAACUUUGUUAGUGCUGUUUCUUUGCUAUUCUUUUUACCUUUCUUGGUCAGAGCGAUGUAGUGGGAGCUGCAAGCUUCACGUGCUCAACUUUGGCAGAGAACUUUGGCAAAGUGAUCUGUGGUACCCAUGAGUUAUUGUUGCGUGUGGGAAGUGGGUGAUUGAACAGUAAGAUUCAUGUGCUUUCUACUUCACCAGAAGUCUUCGACAAAAUGCCCAUAAUUUCUGCAAAGCUGAGUGUGCGUGUGACAGGUGCUGACAAGGCUAGAAAAGUAGGUGCCUCUUCGAUUUCUGAGAUCGGCCCUCGUGGUCUCUGAGCAGCCCAGCUUUUGAGAAAGCGAGCGCCUCUUCGAUUGAUUCGGAGAACGGUGCCUCACCGAUUUUUGAGAAAGCAAUCAUGCUGGGGGUCUGGCUCUCGAGAUUCGGGGAGCAGUGUCUCUUCGAUUUUUGAGAAAGUAAUCAUGUUGGGAGAGUGGCUCUUGAGAUUCGGAGGGUGGUGCCUCUUCGAUUUUGGAGCAAGCAAUCUUGUUGGGAGUGUUUUCUCGAAUGUGAGUAAAGGUUGGGCAUGUUUGCUAGUCUACCUUGCCACGAAGCACAGAGGUUGACACACAGGGACUUUCCAAUUAUCCAGCAAUGGUACUGUUCCUUUACCCGCUCUUCGAUUUUUAAGAAAGUAGUCAUGUUAGGAGUCUGGCUCUUUAGAUUCGGAGGACGGUGCCUCUUCGAUUUUGGAGCAAGCAAUCUUAUUGGGAGUGUUUUUCUCGAAUGUGAGUAAAGGUUGGGCAUGUUUGCUAGUCUACCUUGCCACGAAGCACAGAGGUUGACAUACAUGGACUUUCCAAUUAUCCAGCAGUGGUACUGUUCCUUUACCCUUGUGGGUAAUAAUAUGGUAGCUAGACCUUCAAAAUUUAUGGGUCUAAACUUUGUUAGUGCUGUUUCUUUGCUAUUCUUUUACCCUUCUUGGUCAGAGCGAUGUAGUGGGAGCUGCAAGCUUCACGUGCUCAACUUUGGCAGAGAACUUUGGCAAAGUUAUCUGUGGUACCCAUGAGCUAUUGUUGCGUGUGGGAAGUGGGUGAUUGAACAGUAAGAUUCAUGUGUUUUCUACUUCCCCAGAAGUCUUUGACAGAAUGCCCAUAAUUUCCGCAAAGCUGAGUGUGCGUGUGACAGGUGCUGACAAGGCUGGAAAAGUAGGUGCCUCUUCGAUUUCUGAGAUCGGCCCUCGUGGUCCCUAGGGAGCCCAGCUUUUGAGAGAAAGCGAGCGCCUCUUCGAUUUCUGAGAUCGGCCUUCGUGGUCUUUGAGCAGCCCAACUUUUGAGAAAGCAAACGGCUCUUCGAUUUCUGAGAUCAACCCUCGUGAUCUUUAAGCAGCCCAACUUUUGAGAAAGCAAACGCCUCUUCGAUUUCUGAGCAGGCGCCUCUUUGAUUUCUGAAGCUCCGUCGAGUGCAGAUUUUUAUAGAGGCUGGCAUUAAGUUCCAAAGCACACUUGAAUCUCCACCAGUAGAAGCUUCAUUCUUGCACUUCUAAUAUCUUGAUUUGUCCGACCUCUUCUCUCUUCAACACCUUUGAAAAUGUAUGGCCCCUCCGACCGUCGUUUUGACUUGAACCUUGUUGAAGAGGCAGCCCCGCCUUCUCCAGACAACAUAUGGCGCCCAUCCUUCGUCUCCCAAACUGGUCCUCUUACCGUUGGGGAUUCCGUGAUGAAGAAUGAUAUGACCGCUGCGGUGGUGGCCAGGAACCUUCUCACUCCCAAAGAUAACAGACUACUUUCCAAACGGUCUGAUGAGUUAGCUGUUAAGGAUUCGCUGGCUCUCAGUGUUCAGUGUGCAGGUUCUGUGUCUAAUAUGGCCCAACGCCUAUUUGCUCGAACCCGCCAAGUUGAAUCAUUGGCGGCUGAAGUGAUGAGUCUCAAACAGGAGAUUAGAGGGCUCAAGCAUGAGAAUAAACAGUUGCACCGGCUCGCACAUGACUAUGCUACAAACAUGAAGAGGAAGCUUGACCAGAUGAAGGAAACUGAUGGUCAGGUUUUACUUGAUCAUCAGAGAUUUGUGGGUUUGUUCCAAAGGCAUUUAUUGCCUUCGUCUUCUGGGGCUGUACCGCGUAAUGAAGCUCCAAAUGAUCAACCUCUGAUGCCUCCUCCUCCUAGGGUUCUGUCCAGUACUGAGGCUCCAAAUGAUCCCCCUCCGGUGCCUUCUCUUUCUGGGGCUCUACCGACUGCUGAGACUUCUCCUAAGCAACCUUUGUGAAGGCUCCCUCUUGUGUGUGUUUAUUUUGACUCAUGUAUAUGUACAUAUUUGUAGCUUAUCGGGGAUAUCAAUAAAUAAGCUUUCCUUCAUUUCAACGUAUUGUGUUAAAUACACCAAAGCCUUCUUCGCUAAGUUCUUUGAAUUUUCUUUUGUUGAAGCUUGUAUGUUGAAGCUUUCUGAGUGGAGCAUGUAGGUUGGGGUAGUGUUCCCUUAAUUUCUCGAGUGAGGAAAACUUCUUGGUUGGAGACUUGGAAAAUCCAAGUCACUGAGUGGGAUCGGCUAUAUGAAUCUUAGAACGCCAUUGUGCUCGAUCCUGUGUCAUGUCCUUCGUUAGAUCCAAGUACUCUAAGUCUUUCUUUAGAGUCUCUUCCAAAGUUUUCCUAGGUCUUCCUCUACCCCUUCGGCCCUGAACCUUUGUCCCAUAGUCGCAUCUUCUAAUCGGAGCGUCAGUAGGCCUUCUUUGCACAUGUCCAAACCACCGUAACCGAUUUUCUCUCUCAUCUUUCCUUCAAUUUCGGCUACUCCUACUUUACCCCGGAUAUCCUCAUUCCUAAUCUUAUCCUUUCUCGUGUGCCCACACAUCCAACGAAGCAUCCUCAUCUCCGCUACACCCAUUUUGUGUACGUGUUGAUGUUUCACCGCCCAACAUUCUGUGCCAUACAGCAUCGCCGGCCUUAUUGCCGUCCUAUAAAAUUUUCCCUUGAGCUUCAGUGGCAUACGGCGGUCACACAACACGCCGGAUGCACUCUUCCACUUCAUCCAUCCAGCUUGUAUUCUAUGGUUGAGAUCUCCAUCUAAUUCUCCGUUCUUUUUGCAAGAUAGAUCCUAGGUAACGAAAACGGUCGCUCUUUGGUAUUUCUUGAUCUCCGAUCCUCACCCCUAACUCGUUUUGGCCUCCAUUUGCACUGAACUUGCACUCCAUAUAUUCUGUCUUUGAUCGGCUUAGGCGAAGACCUUUAGAUUCCAACACUUCUCUCUCAAAGGUUAAGCUUUGCAUUUACCCCUUCCUGAGUUUCAUCUAUCAACACUAUAUCGUCUGCGAAAAGCAUACACCAAGGAAUAUCAUCUUGAAUAUGUCCUGUUAACUCAUCCAUUACCAACGCAAAAAGGUAAGGACUUAAGGAUGAGCCUUGAUGUAAUCCUACAGUUAUGGGAAAGCUUUCGGUUUGUCCUUCAUGAGUUCUUACGGCAGUCUUUGCUCCUUCAUACAUAUCCUUUAUAGCUUGGAUAUAUGCUACUCGUACUCCUUUCUUCUCUAAAAUCCUCCAAAGAAUGUCUCUUGGGACCCUAUCAUACGCUUUUUCCAAAUCUAUAAAGACCAUGUGUAAAUCCUUUUUCCCAUCUCUAUAUCUUUCCAUCAAUCUUCGUAAGAGAUAGAUUGCCUCCAUGGUUGAGCGCCCUGGCAUGAACCCGAAUUGGUUGUCCGAAACCCGUGUCUCUUGCCUCAAUCUAUGCUCAAUGACUCUCUCCCAGAGCUUCAUUGUAUGACUCAUUAGCUUAAUACCCCUAUAGUUCAUGCAAUUUUGUACGUCGCCCUUAUUCUUGUAGAUAGGCACCAAAGUGCUCGUUCGCCACUCAUUUGGCAUCUUCUUCGUUUUCAAAAAUCCUAUUGAAAAGGUCAGUGAGCCAUGUUAUACCUGUCUCUCCCAAAACUUUCCACACUUCGAUUGGUAUAUCGUCUGGGCCUAUUGCUUUUCUAUGCUUCAUCUUCUUCAAAGCUACAACCACUUCUUCCUUCCGGAUUCGACGAUAAAAGGAGUAGUUUCUACACUCUUCUGAGUUACUCAACUCCCCUAAAGAAGCACUCAUUUCAUGUCCUUCAUUGAAAAGAUUAUGAAAAUAACCUCUCCAUCUGUCUUUAACCGCGUUCUCUGUAGCAAGAACCUUUCCAUCCUCAUCCUUGAUGCACCUCACUUGGUUUAGGUCCCUUGUCUUCUUUUCCCUUGCUCUAGCUAGUUUAUAGAUAUCCAACUCUCCUUCUUUGGUAUCUAGUCGUUUAUACAUAUCGUCGUAAGCCGCUAACUUAGCUUCUCUGACAGCUUUCUUCGCCUCUUGCUUCGCUUUUCUAUACCUUUCACCAUUUUCAUCGGUCCUCUCCUUGUAUAAGGCUUUACAACAUUCCUUCUUAGCCUUCACCUUUGUUUGUACCUCCUCAUUCCACCACCAAGAUUCCUUUUGGUGUGGGGCAAAGCCCUUGGACUCUCCUAAUACCUCUUUUGCUACUUUUCGGAUACAACUAGCCAUGGAAUCCCACAUUUGGCUAGCUUCCCCCUCUCUAUCCCACACACAUUGGGUGAUUACCUUCUCUUUGAAAAUGGCUUGUUUUUCUUCUUUUAGAUUCCACCAUCUAGUUCUUGGGCACUUCCAAGUCUUGUUCUUUUGUCUUACUCUUUUGAUAUGUACAUCCAUCACCAACAAGCGAUGUUGAUUAGCCACGCUCUCUCCUGGUAUAACUUUGCAAUCCUUACAAGUUAUACGAUCCCCUUUCCUCAUUAGAAGAAAAUCUAUUUGUGUUUUUGACGACCCACUCUUGUAGGUGAUCACAUGUUCUUCUCUCUUCUUAAAGAAGGUGUUGGCUAAGAAGAGAUCAUAUGCCAUUGCAAAAUCCAAGAUAGCUUCCCCAUCCUCGUUUCUCUCCCCAAAACCAUGGCCACCAUGAAAACCUCCAUAGUUGCCUGUCUCCCUGCCCACGUGUCCAUUUAAAUCUCCUCCUCCUAUAAAUAACUUCUCCGUCUGAGCAAUUCCUUGCACCAAGUCUCCAAGAUCUUCCCAAAAUUUCUCUCCUUCGAACUCGUAUCCAACCCUACUUGAGGUGCGUACGCACUAAUCACAUUGAUAAGUUCUUGUCCUAUUACAAUCUUGAUUGCCAUGAUUCUAUCUCCUACCCUCUUGACAUCUACAACAUCUUGUACCAAGGUCUUGUCCACGAUGAUGCCAACACCGUUUCUCGUUCUAUUUGUGCCCGAAUACCAAAGUUUAAACCCUGAGUUUUCUAGAUCCUUUGCCUUACUACCAACCCACUUAGUUUCUUGUAGGCACAUAAUAUUUAUCCUUCUCCUCACCAUAACUUCCACUACUUCCAUAGAUUUUCCCGUUAAGGUUCCUAUAUUCCACGUUCCUAAACGCAUUUUGCUCUCUUGAACUCUACCCUUCUGUCCUAGCUUCUUCACCCUCCCCCGUCUAAUAGGAUCAAAGUACUUCUUUUGUGUGUCCCGGGUAAAGUUGAUAGGAGCAUAUGCUCCCAAACAACUUUGAGUGGAGUCGUUCGAAAAGAAGUUUCUAUGGCCCCCUUGCUCAUUUAACACUGCAUCCGGGUGCCGAUGGAGAUACAGCGACCCUUGCUCACUUAUCACUGUGCUCGGGCCACACAGCGCGCCACUUACGGGUGACGCCCUAGCUUUAGCGCGAUUUUGUUCUGGAUUCAUUUUCAUAAGGAUUCGACGUGAUCAUGGAGUGAACAGCUUGUUGCAUGAUCAGAAAUUCUCAGAAUCACAGGCAUGGCCAUACCUCCCUCCCACAUACUCCAUUUCUUUGUUUCCAAAUCAAGGAAACAGAGUUCAUUUCAAGAGUUCUAGGAAUUCAAAUAUUUUUUAUAAUAAUUAUAAAAGAAUUACAUUUCUAAUCUCCAAUUCACUGAUAAAAUUUCAGAUUCUUUGAUCACAAUUUAGAGGUAAAUUUCAGUUUCAGUAAAUAAAUUUGUAAAAAGAUUCCUCAGCAUCAUUGUAGCUGGUACUUAUGCAUUUUAUGGGCAAUAUCACAAAGCAGCAGCAGAAGAACGGUAAAUAGGGUUUACGAACAAUAUUUCCAAUUUCCAAAAUUAAGAUUACUUUGGUGUGAAUAUACCCCAACACAUCUAUCAAACCCUAAUUGAAACUUGUGCUCCAAUCAGGCGAACAAAGAACCUCCCCAAUUCAUUUAAUUUUCCAAUUUAAAGAUCGUAACUUUGAAUCAAUCAAAAUUGAGAUUACCUUCGUGUGAAUUGGCGUUUGAGGUUGAGGAAGCUGCUCUGAUUCACGUCUGAAAACGCAAUAACCGAAAUCAAAACUCAGAAACGUACAACAUAAAAAACACGUACACAAUAUACGAUUGAAUAACAUAC
rnacentral:lncRNA from 1 species